rnacentral:lncRNA from 1 species
AAACUCUGACCUCUUACUCUCUCUACUUAACUCUGGUCCCGGGCAGCCAAGACAAAGCGAAAGGCAAGGCAGCAUGAGCCGAUCACCCCUCAAUCCCAGCCAACUCCGAUCAGUGGGCUCCCAGGAUGCCCUGGCCCCCUUGCCUCCACCUGCUCCCCAGAAUCCCUCCACCCACUCUUGGGACCCUUUGUGUGGAUCUCUGCCUUGGGGCCUCAGCUGUCUUCUGGCUCUGCAGCUCCUGGCCUCCAGCUUCUUUUCAUGUGGUAUGUCUACCAUCCUGCAAACUUGGAUGGGCAGCAGGCUGCCUCUUGUCCAGGCUCCAUCCUUAGAGUUCCUUAUCCCUGCUCUGGUGCUGACCAGCCAGAAGCUACCCCGGGCCAUCCAGACACCUGGAAACUCCUCCCUCAUGCUGCACCUUUGUAGGGGACCUAGCUGCCAUGGCCUGGGGCACUGGAACACUUCUCUCCAGGAGGUGUCCGGGGCAGUGGUAGUAUCUGGGCUGCUGCAGGGCAUGAUGGGGCUGCUGGGGAGUCCCGGCCACGUGUUCCCCCACUGUGGGCCCCUGGUGCUGGCUCCCAGCCUGGUUGUGGCAGGGCUCUCUGCCCACAGGGAGGUAGCCCAGUUCUGCUUCACACACUGGGGGUUGGCCUUGCUGUACGUGAGUCCUGAGAGGCGUGGGAUGGUGCCCAGUGGGGGUGUAUGGGGGGACUAGGGGAGGGCAGAACUGCUGGUCCUAUCAGAUUCAGCAGCGACUGGAAUAGGGACAUAUUUUAUAUUUGGAAUCCAAGACUUUUCCUUGAUUCAUCUGGUCUCCUUGAAUUUCACACUGUUUUCUGCUGUCCCCCAAGGUCACUUCCUAUUCCUUCCAUGGGAGUUUCCUUCUCUGGUAUCACCCCCCGCUCUUAUGAUAUUCUGCCCACUCCCACCUCCUUUCCCAUCCCUCAGGAUACCCACUGCCUCUUGCUCCUAAAGCCUUCUGUCUCCUAGGGUUAUCCUGCUCAUGGUGGUCUGUUCUCAGCACCUGGGCUCCUGCCAGUUUCAUGUGUGCCCCUGGAGGCGAGCUUCAACGUCAUCAACUCACACUCCUCUCCCUGUCUUCCGGCUCCUUUCGGUAUGUGUGGGUCUGGGCAGGGCAGUAGAGGUCAGAAGGGCUGGCCUGGAGUGCUCACUCCAUCCCCUACCUUUUGGCUUCUGUCUACCCCUGCAAGGCUGGCUCAGAAGGUUCUGGGGGAGGAGUUCUUUUCUCAGUCUCGCCCCUCAGGUGCUGAUCCCAGUGGCCUGUGUGUGGAUUGUUUCUGCCUUUGUGGGAUUCAGUGUUAUCCCCCAGGAACUGUCUGCCCCCACCAAGGCACCAUGGAUUUGGCUGCCUCACCCAGGUGAGUGGAAUUGGCCUUUGCUGACGCCCAGAGCUCUGGCUGCAGGCAUCUCCAUGGCCUUGGCAGCCUCCACCAGUUCCCUGGGCUGCUAUGCCCUGUGUGGCCGGCUGCUGCAUUUGCCUCCCCCACCUCCACAUGCCUGCAGUCGAGGGCUGAGCCUGGAGGGGCUGGGCAGUGUGCUGGCCGGGCUGCUGGGAAGCCCCAUGGGCACUGCAUCCAGCUUCCCCAACGUGGGCAAAGUGGGUCUUAUCCAGGUACGUGGACCUGGGAUGGGAGUGGGGUAGGAUGGAGCUAGAGGGGAAGAAGAAGGACAGGAACUUACACCGAUUGAUUGCCAGGUGUGCCUAGCACCUCACAUCAACUAUCUUACUUGGGGAGGUGCCUAAGAUUAGACUUUGGGCUAAGAGAGUGGGGAAGUGAACAAAUCACCACGGAACUCCUGUGCAUGAGGCACUGUAUCAAGGCUAGGGCAAAGAACCAGUCACAUAAAGUUCUGCUCUCUUGGGGACUUCAUAGAGGGAGAGGCAGACAGUUGAAGGAAAAAAGUAUCUUUUUAAAAAAGUGGGCCAGGCAUGGUGGCUCACACCUGUAAUCCUAGCACGUGGGGAGGCUGAGGCAGGCAGAUCACUUAGGCUAGGAAUUCAAGACCAGCCUGGCCAACAUGGUGAAACCCUGUCUCUACUAAAAAUACAAAAAUUAGCUGGGCAUGGUGUUGUGCACCUAUAAUUCCAGCUACUCAGGAGGCUGAGGCAGGAGAAUCGCUUGAGCCUGGGAGGCAGAGGUUGCUGUGAGCCGAGACCGCACCACUGCACUCCAGCCUGGGCGACAGAGCGAGACUCCAUCUC